AGCCAGGCACCUCUUCCUCCUCAUGGCCUCACAGUCACUUCAGAGGCUGUCUGACCUCUCUCCCCAUUCCCUCCCUCCUUCCCUCUCCUCCUUUCUUUGCUUAAGCUGGUUUAAGUGGACCUUCUCCUGUAACCAAGGGAGUUAGGAAUGAAAACAAAUCCUAAAAGGGAGUCAUUGAGACAAAAUAUUUGUCAAAGAAUGAACAUAACUCUGAAGUCACUGAGUGGGCUGGGAGAGAGAGAGAGAGAGAGAGAGAGAGAGAGAGAGAGAGAGAGAGGAGGGAAGGGAGAGGAGAGGCACUAGGAUCUAGUGAAAACUUCAUGGCAAGCAUAUUUGAACUGGACUUGAAGAAGACAUAAGGAAAUUCACAGUAUCUUUCUUCUCCUGAAACUCCUAGGGUCUACUUGCUGUGCUGGGUACUGAACUCAGAGCCUGAGUCAUGCUAGGAAAGCACUCUAUUGGUGCCCUGGAUCUUUCAUUCCAGCUGUUAGCCUUCUGUCUAAGCUCCACCCCCACGGUUACCCGACAACUGCCAGCACUACACGGAGAGGAAGAGGCAGAGACACAGAAGAGAGAGAACAGCUGGGGUGUGACAUCCUCCGCUAAACGGUGUGUACUCCCACCUACAGAGCCUCUGUGGUCAAUGUCCAACUCAAGACUGAAGUUGGAGCAGAAGGGUUAGAGUUUGGAAAAAACCCACGCCAGUUCUGAGAAGCUACCUGAAGAAAACACAGCUGAGGAAUGAAGAAACCGAGGAAUCCAUUCACGGCAUGGAGCGGCACUUUCUUGGCUACCAGAAGGAAAGAGACUUACCUUUCCAAACAUUGAACCUCCUGGAGAAGAAGGAAGGAGCAAGAGACAGGCAAUGUCCUCUGCAGGCCUUCUGUGGAGCAAGCAUCAGGAGAGGCCUGUGAUGAGUGGCUGUGCCCACGAGCUGUGGCUCCUCCCGGAGGCUGGCGAGGAGCAGCUCUGCUGUUUUCUGUAAACCUCCUUACCAGCUGGGGCCACGCGUGGCAUCUGCAUCUCGAGGCCAAUCUAAACUUACAAAAUAAACUCCAUUGCAGAAGACCUCAAGAACUCACACCGCUGGCAUUCUGGAACGAGGAAGGCACAGCCCAAGGCCACUCUGUGGACUAAGUGGAACCGCAGCUCCGGUGGCCCACCCUCUCUGGGCUGCUGUGUGUAGCCGAACCGACUGUUGGGGAAAGCCUUGCAAAGCAAGCUGAAGUGUGGGGGCCAUGCCUCAUCUGUCUCCGUGCAUUUGCUGAGUGCCUGCCUCUUCCACUGCGUAAGGCAUGUGAAGAAGACAAGACAAGGUUCCUUCCUGGAGGGUUUCUGGGGUUUGGGAGAGUCAUAGCUGACACCCAAAGCAGUAGCACACGAAAGUGGGGGCAGCUUCAAGAGCGCACUCCAGGGCAUGCUCUGGUCCACAUUCUGUUGACCACAAGCAACUGAAAGGACAUGUUUGUUUCCCCUCACACCCUUGAGGAAAGGCGAGGCAGGAACUCAAACAGGUGGGAGCCCUCGACGGGGACUUGAAGCAGACAUUACGGAGGGACAGUGCGUACCUGCUUGUUCCUUCUGCCUUGCUUUGCUUGCAUUCCUAUACACAGACUCACAUGCCUAGGCACAGUGCUGCUACCCACAGGAGAUUAGUCCUUCCGAAUCAAUUACCAAUAAAGACAGUGCCCUCAGCCAUGCUCUCAGCUACUCUGAUGGAGGCAGCCCCUCGACUGAGGCUCCCUUUUCCCGGGGGACUCUAGUUGGUGUCAGGUUGACAGUGGAGACUAUGUCCCCAUUGCAUUGGUGGAGGGGGUAAUUUAAAGAAAUGCUGACCCUGGGAAGGGUGGCUAGAGAUGUGCAUGGGGCAGUAAGACUUCCAUGAGCUUCAGGACAGACUGGUCUACAUAGUCAGUUCCAGUCAGGUAAGAAUAAACAAGGCUACCUCUGUCAGAGGACAUCGAGGAGGAAGUAUGACCUUGCCAGCUGCCCGCUGAAAACAGAGCUGGACGACACAGCAAGCGACGAUUUCGCUGACUGACAUUGACACCUUCAUUUAGUAAUCAAACAGGAGAAGAGUCCUAAGCGUGCACCUCGCUUCCUCUCAGGUACACCGGGUUCCCAGUGCACACGACACUGCACAGGGCUUCACUGGGCUGUGGUGAUCUGACUGACCCUAGAAAGUCCCAAGGAAACAGGUCAAAGACCUCCAGGAAAUAGGAUGUAGACGCAGGACCAGUGCAAGGUCAGCUAAUUAGGGUGGGAUUACUCUGCUGCUGAUUUGAUUUGUCAGGGGCAAUGAGCGUCUCUCAGGAUUUGGGGAGCAGUAAUCACCUGCUUUCCCAGCUUUAGUUCUUCCAUCAGCCAGGAGCAGGCACCAUGCUAAAAACGAGUCUGAAAAUCUCCUCACAGAGUUGUCUUUGUGGGGCCAGUGCCAUGCUGCUGUGCCAGAGGGAUUAAUUGUUCUCAGGGUUUCUGUUUGCAAACCCUGCCCCCUUAGAUUCACAAACACCCCCAAGGUCGUGUUUAGUGUGUAUCAAUCUGUUGUAACGCAACUCCAGAGUGAUCAUUUAAGAGUGAGCUCCAGGAGCUAAUUGAGAAGGGGGUCACCAGCCUACUGCACCCCAAAAUGAACCAGAGACAUCUCCAAGUAAGAAAAAGGCUGUCAUAGUUCCAGAAGCCUGGAAGGGAACUGCCUCAAAAGCUAACUUCAUUUUAAUCUGAAGGAGAAUCCAACCAGGAUACAGAGCCCUGCUCUAUCUACUGUUGAACCGCAAGAGCCCUUAGGCUCAGAACCAACCGGAAAAGUCGAUAGUAAACAGAGUCCGUGAUCUAACUAGUUAUACCGACAGAAUUUACUGUUAUUUUAGCACCUGCUACCAGGACAAACCCAUGACCUUGUGAACUGACCUGUGAAAUGACAUUGAUUUAAUACAGGGCAUAAGAAUGUAAAAAUUAACCGAGGACAGAAAUUCCACCUUUCCUUUGCUUGAACAGAGUGCUUCACGACUGACCACACACUUGGAAAAAAAAUAUAUAUAUAUAUUUAAAAUGUAUCAUUUGACAGCUUCCUACGUGUAUACAAUGUAUCUUAACUGUAUCUACUUCCGACUUCCCCCUCCCUCAACACCUCCUAACACAUCCCCCUCCCUCCUUCAUAACCUCCUCUUUUUAUUUUUUUAUAACCGGCUGAGUCCAAUUAGUGCCGCCCACAUGCACACGGGCGUGAGGCCACCCACCCAACCAUGAACAGCCUAUCAGCGGCUGCACUUCUGAAGAAAAAUGACUCCCCUCUCCCCGGCAGCUGUCAGCUGCCAGUGGCUCCUCAGCCAAGGGUGGGGUGUCAUGAACCCUCCCCAGUCUAUGCUGGAAUGUUGACCGACUUGAGCCCCUGAAGGGCUUGCAUGCUGGUAACUAUAUACACAGCCAAGUCCAGAAAAUGCACAGCACUCCUCCUCCAGCUACUAUCUUUUCCCCUUCUUCCAGAUGUUUCCCAAGUGUGGGAGAGGGUGGUGACAUCGAAGUCUGGCGUGCUCCUCACUUACGCUCAGUGCCGUGACCAGUAGAAGUCGGUAUUAACUGCUGUCCGUUACAGAAAGGAGCUUCUCUGACCAAGCCAGUAAAUUGACUUGUGGGUUACUGGCAGGGGAGAUAAGAAGUCAAGGCCUCAAGAUGUUGACUGACACUGCUGUUAGGCAUCUGACCUCUAACAGAGCCAUGGUGGAACUGGAAUCCCUUAGCACUUGAACUCUGACCUGGCAGACCCGUCACUGCGUUCAGCUUGAGUCGUAGAUUCCGAGUCUCUCCUAAGAACCUUCAAACCAGCAGAGCAACACCCCGGCAUGGUUGCCGUCUCCCGUCUCUGUCCUACAAUGUUUCCUUCGCAGCCCAGUGUCAGGAGACCCAAAGCAACAAUGACCACCAAACCCUCAACACAACCAUCUUCAAAGGGCACUGGUGAAGUUCCAUGUCUUAGAAGUCUUUGCAGCUGCCAAGGUCACCACCGGCUCAGACGACUUCAUCCAGCAGGUGAUUUGGCCGGAACCGGUUCUGCUCUGCCCAUAAGCUUAUUGACCUAUUUGAUCCAUGGCCCAAUUACAGCUCCGUGCCUACCAAUCACUCCAGAUGAAAAGUGUCAUCAAGCCUACGGGUGUAGAACUAGUCUCUCCUGAGUUUACUUAGCUUGGCUACCUCAGGAAAGGGUGGAGUGGUGUGUGUGUGUGUGUGUGUGUGUGUGUGUGUGUGUGUGUGUGUGUGUGAGAAUGUGUGUGUGUGUAGUGUGUGUGUGUGAGUGUGUGUGAGUGUGUGUGAGUAUGUGUGUGUGAGUGUGUGUAUGAGUAUGUGUGUGAGUGUGUGUGAAUGUGUGUGAGUGUGUGUGAGUGAGUGUGUGUGAGUGUGUGUAUGAGUGUGUGAGUGAGUGUGUGUGAGUGUGUGAGUGUGUGUGUAGUGUGUGUGAGUGUGUGUAUGUGUGUAUGAGUGUGUGUGUGAAUGUGUGUGUGAGUGUGUGUGUGAAUGUGUGUGAGUGUGUGUGAGUGUGUGAGUGAGUGUGUGUGUGAGUGUGUGUGUAUGAGUGUGUGUAUGAGUGUGUGAGUGUGUGUGAGUAUGUGUGUGAGUGAGUGUGUGUGUGAGUGUGUGUGAGUGUGUGUGAGUAUGUGUGUAUGAGUGUGUGUGAGUGUGAGUGUGUGAGUGUGUGUGAGUGUGUGUGAGUGUGUGUGAGUGUAUGUGAGUGAGUGUGAGUGUGUGUGUGAGUAUGUGUGUGUGUGAGUGUGUGUGUGAGUGAGUUGUGUGAGUGUGUGUAUGUGUGUGAGUGAGUGUGUGUGUGAGUGUGUGUGUGAGUGUGUGUGAGUGAGUGUGUGUGAGUAUGUGUGUGUGAGUGAGUGUGUGUGUGAGUGUGUGUGUGUGAGUGAGUAUGUGUGUGAGUGAGUGUGUGUGUGUGUGUGUGUGAGUGAGCUGUGUGGGACUGGAGGAAUUGUACCUGAUCACGUCUGUAUGUGUGUGUGUGUGUAACAUGAGCAUGUUUCUAUCACGGCGCUCUGUGGUUCUAUGACUGGAAUCUGGUCCGAGAGGGCAGGCACAUGUACGUGUGUGUAUAGUAUGGGCACUUCACUUGUGCAACUGAAGGGAGAAAAGGAAGGCAGGGAAAGGUAAAGGACAGACAGCAGACAUUCUACAUCUAGAGUCAGUAAUAAAGGCAGCUACAAGUGACAAGGCCAAAGACAGAGAACAGGGGGCAAGACGACGGGACACAAGAAGGAAGCCUGGUCAGGAGCAAUGCCUGCUCUGUUCCAGGUGUGGAAUGGCAGUAGAGGCAGAAGCUUGCAGGCAAACAAUGCCUCCUUUGUCACUUUCCUGCCUCUUUGCCUGAAGAGUCUGAGACAGCCUCCACAGUGGUUCUGUCUGUUUCUAUAGCCUCCUUGCCAUUCCCAGGGUUUUAUUUCUCCUAACAACUAGCGACAGCCAACAAAGGAAGCCACCUUGUCCUCUGCCGCAACAAGGUUAACAGUGGCUGUCCCCGGUCUGCCCACCACCACUAGAUCACAUGCAGGUAGGGUCAGGGCCUUGCAGAGGAGCUGGGAUGGUGGGGCUGAAGAGAACGGGGGUCUGAGAACAAAUGGCAGCCAGGCCUCACACUUAGUGCUGAGCCGUGACAGAGGAGAGGUGACAAUUUCACAAGACACUGCCUCCAGCAAGAAGACUGGGGGGAAGGACUUGGGAUUGCUGUGCCUCUUAGAAAGAGUUUCCCUGUUGGGUUUGGGUCUCCUUGUAGCAGAUGGGGUUACACUAGGCUAGGUCUCCGGUUCCCAAAGUCCUUGAGAGAGUCUAAAGGGGUCCUUUUAACACCUGUGGGCGAGGCUGGGUGAGGCAGGUCAUAAUCUCCCCAACCUGGCCUGCCUGGGUUUGAAGAUUGUACGUCUUUCCCUCUGAGACCCCCAGUGCUAGCGCCUUAUGACUCACCAUAAAGUGACUGUUAGAGAUGAUUUGUUGAGGCCACGGGACAGUUGACAAUGAACCUCAGUAGAGGAGUCUCCUUGAUUCCCAUAAUUUAGGGUCCUCACCGGCUGGCCCCUAGCACAGAUAUUGUACCUUUAGAUGCUGACUCCUGGAGAUUGAGAAACUCCAGUCACCGUGGACUGGCCAAACUGUGGCAGGCCUGGUAUUCAGUAAUGAAGAUGAAGAGAAGUUUAUACAGCAGGAGUCUGUGUUGCUCUGCCACUGGCGGGUCCUGAAAGAGCAAAGGGAAACCCAGACACCAUGGUCAAGUUCUUCAGUAUGGCAGUGGCAACGCCUACCUUCUUUCUGGCUUCAUGCUGUAUGGUACUGCUUCUCAGAUGGCCUUGUCCUUUCCUAACAUACCACCUACCUUGUCAACAAAGAGCUACCGUCUGCCAGAUCUUCAAGCAUAAGUCAUCCCUAAACUCCUGAGCUAUUUCUAAUGUCACAGCAGGCCUGCCACUGCGUAGCUCAUGAGGACUGUCAAUCAAGCAAACAACAAUGACAACACCAGCAACAAAACCUGGACAGUCAUCAGUGGAGUUCUCUUCGAGCCGUUCUCCUUGCUGUAGGAGCUACAGGGCAGAGGAGGAGUUCCUACCUCUGGGAUGAACUCCCAGGGUAGGGCUUGGGUGAAGGUGUUCACCACCAAGCCACCCCCACCACCUACCAAAUGACCACAGGCUUGAAAAUCAGGUAGAUAAAUCUGUCAAAUCAAAACAAAAAUUACCAAAAAAAAACAAAAACAAAAACAAAAACAAAAACAAAAAGAAAAAAGCUUUAUCCUUUUCCAACAGAUGGUGAAGCAAAAACAGCUGCACACGGCAGAGCUGUGACACAUCCAAGAAGCUGCUCAAUGUUUAACUGUCUACCUGGUGCUGCUUCUUACCGGAGGGAGUGCCGUGGCGUGGGGUUUUACAGGCAGCCAGCUCACACAUGCAGUUACUUUUCUCCGAUUUUUUUUGAAGAAGCGAAAUGUGUGUGUUUUCAUGUCUAACCAUCAAGUUGCCUUUUGGUAAAAAUCAUGGUUUACCUUAAAU